UUUUGAAAACCAUAAGCAAGAACCGAUAAAUGACACAGGAUGCACGACUACCAAGUAAUUGAAAAAACCCAGCAAGUGACACAGGAUAAAAAUCCGAAUCUGAUAUGAAGUUAAAGACAUCAUUGGAAAGAUCUAAAAAUUCAACUAUGUAGAGCGGGUUUGAGUGGCCACUAUAUUAACCAACACCAGCCAUUUCACUAAUUCAAUUCUCUUGAAUAACAACAACCACACAUGUAAAAAUGAGCCGGCCAGGAACUAUUUUGAGGAUGAACAAAAUGCGUAAAAAUAGGAAUGGAGAACCCAGUCAUAUAGCUUCACAUUCACCAACUUGAUGCUCCUACAAAGUCCACCCUAAGCCUGGAGCUGUUCUGUGUGAACCAAAACCAGUAAACCUACAAAGAAAUUUACAACACAAGCAAUUUGAGAGAGAUUGGAAAUAGGGCUCCAAGCAUAUUGAUAAUCCAGCUCACUUCCUGGAAAAAGGUGUAUAUGACUAUGCAAAUACAUGUCGCAAAGUAGUCAAGUAUAUAGAAUCACAUGCACAACAAAGCAUAAACAGCGAGACGAUUUAAUAACCUACAUAGACCGACAUCAACAGAAUAAAAACAACGCCACCGACAUACAGAUAAAUUUAAGGGAAAAAGGCAUUUAUCUCUACUCUUAUCAGGCAGCUAAUAGUUAGAUGCAAUAAAAGAAGGUAAUCCUAGGAACACUUCGGUUCAGAAAAGUAAGUCAGGAGCACAGCUUAAUUAUCUCAACUCUCAUAUGUAACUCCAGCUCCAGCUUAUCAGUUUAGGAAAGCAAGUCAGCACAACUCAAUUAUAUGUACUCUCAUAUGUAAUUGUCACGAACACUUCAGUUUAGAAAAGUAAUAAAUAUAAUAGCAUGGUUAAAGAUGCCGAUCAUACUUGCAACUCAUAAUUUGUGAGGCAACACAAAUAAGUGAACAAAUAAAAACAAUGAGCAAGCUACUGAAUUAGAAUAGAGAGGAUAAAAGUGAAUCACAACAUGUAUAGGACAAUGCAGCAGUACAUGUGUGUGAACAGAAACCCAGUUCAUUAUGGAAAGUGCCAACAAAAUGGCAGUAAUAGUUUUUUAGAUUUAUGUUUAGUAGCACAUGCAACAGGUAGAUCAGUCCAUUUUUCAUUUCAGGGAAAUUUAAGACAAUUUAGAAUUGCCUAAUUAUUUUAUAUCCAAGACAGAAGGAUUGGCAGCUUAUCCUCAAAUUGUAUUCUUUACAGUUAUAAUGAAGGCUAUACAUGCAGAGUAAUAGGCAUGCUAAUUGAUAAGUUUGGUAACCAAGCGUAAAAGACGCUCGCUACAGAAAGACAGGCCAUAGGACUGACAAUAGAAAAAACAGUAAACCUGUGACAGAAAAGACAGCGUUGACUUUAGAAGAAAUGUUACAACCAGUGACACAGAUUUUCUGUUGGAUAGGAAGCAUGAAAGAAAAAUAAAACCUGAGAAUAAAAGCAAUGCUUCUGUAGUUAACUUCGAAGAAAACACAGUUAUAGAUGAAUAAGCUCAUGUUGUUUGCAAAGUAAGAUCAUUGGUUCUCUCCGGCAAUGGAAAUCUAAAGAAUCACAACCAGCUAAAACAGGAUCUCUUUCUACAGAUUAAACGGUGAUACGCUGGAAACAAUGUGAGGCAGCCUGACUCGCAAUAGGUUUAACAGCAACAGAACCUACACGUUUUGGCUGUAUAUAGCUUUAGUUUCAUUUUCAGGAGUUUUAUCAAGGUUCCGAGAGUAACGAAAGAUCAGUUACAUGAUAUGAUAGCAGUAAAAGAUUUAAGCAACGUAGGGAAGAUGUGAGUUACUAUUUUGAGGUCCAAAGGAACAAAAUGGCUAAAACAAACUGUAAAUGAAGUUAGUUGAAUGCCGUGAUAAUCUAUAGGCCAAUACUAAUAUUAAGUUGUCUCUGAAAUAACUGGGAGUGGCUGUUUUUAAUUGUAAUCACUAACCUCAGAACCGUGCCGUGAAUUCUCAUAUUGUUUGUACCAUGCCGCAUAUGAAGAAAACUGACUGUGGGUUACUUCCAUGCUUGCCACUUCAUCCUGCAGCGCGCAGAUAUUAAUUAGUAGCUUAUACAGACCUAUUGACAUUUAAGAGAAGCACAUAGCAAGCUAGGGAGAGGAAUACUAUAAUGGUUGCAAACAAAAUCAGUUAUCAACUACUAAUUGUUUAAUUUGGUUAUAAAAGAGAUCUCUUAGGAAUUCUGCACUUGUACAUGUGCUGUUUGUUUGCAUAUGUCGUUCUGUAUUGGAUAAUGCCUAGGUUGAACCUAAUUGCAGCAUAUAAUCAACCAUUUUGUCAAUCAACAACAGAAUAUGCUAUCAGCUGGGACCAGAAGUCAAUAAAUAUGAGCAGUGGCGCAUUGGCAUGACAGAAAUUAUGGGCAUUGCAGGAAUUGGUAAAGAAGUCAUUCUAAACAUCUGGUUUGUUGGGGAGAGGGGUACCCUCAUCCGGCUGUUCUUUAGUCUGGUCAUUGACGGAAUGUUCUUCGGCCGGAGAAAAUAUGGCACGUAUCUCUUCUGCGUCCAUUGGUAGCUGCUGUAAAAGUACGGCUCUAGCUCUAGUUAGAAAAUAAGGCACAAAUGUCUUCUGCGUCCAUUGAUAGCUGCUGUAAAACACACGAGAAAGCAACGAGCACUGAGCAUUUCUUUGCGUGCGAGCCCACACACGCGCGGAAGGGCCGAGAAAGCACACCGCGCUACAAUGGCAUUCCAACAGGCGCAAUGAUGGAAACAGAAGCGUUCAUCCAUUCAGACGCAAACAGCAAAACAAGCAACAAAAUAAAAGCAAAACAAAAAGAUACAAGGCCUUCAAACAUCACUAUUUUACAGAAGUAUCAGUUCAUCAUAUCCUCAUACAAGCCGCGGAAACUAACACCACGAACCAUGCACAACCAACGCAAGAUGAAAACAGAUGGCAGCAUACACGCAUUUCACCAAGCAGCCCUCACACAUUUUAUCAAACACCUAACAAGCAUGCACCCAUAGAGAAGCAGGGGAGGCGCGCACUAACCUGGACAGCAAGGACGGAACCACCCACGCUCCUACGAAAGAGCCAACGUGAAAUCCAAGCAAGCUGCGCACGAAGGGAGCAAAUGGAAACAGACGAGAUCAGUAAAUCAUAGAAACAACGACAGGAAAGAACCGGAGGAGCAGAAUAGAAAGAACCUCAACCAACAGCACCCAUGGAGGAACGGAUGGCAGAGCCGGAGGACAGGGCGCUCGAACGGGAUGAAGCGAGGAGACGAAUAGAGCGCGCAGCAGUGGGCGAAGCGAGCGUGCACAGAAUGAGAAGCAUGAGAAGAAGAAAAGGCCAACAUCGAAGAGAAAAGGGGGCCCUUGCCCACCGCAACGGGACGCCCAACUCGCAAGAGCGGCAUCGGAACCCACGAAGCAGACACCGACAUGCGGCCUGCGUGGGGCCAGAACCCACCGUCAGCGAUAGCGGCGGACAACGUGCAGCCUGGGCAUGGCAGAUGCACGCGACGCGGCAACGGCCCCACGGAGUGACACACGCACGUCCACCGCGCCCAGGGCGCGCGUCGG
rnacentral:lncRNA from 1 species